rnacentral:rRNA from 1 species
GAUGAACGCUGGCGGCGUGCCUAAUACAUGCAAGUCGAGCGGUAAGGCCCUUCGGGGUACGCGAGCGGCGGACGGCUGAGUAACACGUAGGAACGUACCCCAAACUGAGGGAUAAGCACCAGAAAUGGUGUCUAAUACCGCAUGUGGCCCACGGGCUAAAGCUCCGGCGGUUUGGGAACGGCCUGCGUCCGAUUAGCUAGUUGGUGAGGUAAUUGCUCACCAAGGCGACGAUCGGUAGCUGGUCUGAGAGGAUGAUCAGCCAGACUGGGACUGAGACACGGCCCAGACUCCUACGGGAGGCAGCAGUAGGGAAUUUUCCACAAUGGGGGCAACCCUGAUGGAGCAACGCCGCGUGUAGGAUGAAGGCCUUCGGGUUGUAAACUGCUUUUAUCUGUGACGAUUAUGACGGUAGCAGAUGAAUAAGGACCUGCUAACUACGUGCCAGCAGCCGCGGUAA